rnacentral:rRNA from 1 species
UUAUACCGAAUCGUACCCCAAACCGACACAGGUGGUCAGGUAGAGAAUACUAAGGCGCUUGAGAGAACUCGGGUGAAGGAACUAGGCAAAAUCGUACCGUAACUUCGGGAGAAGGUACGCUCCUAUCUGUGAUGAGACUUGCUCUCUAAGCGGACGGGAGCCGCAGUGACCAGGUGGCUGGGACUGUUUAUUAAAAACACAGCACUGUGCAAAAUCGCAAGAUGACGUAUACGGUGUGACACCUGCCCGGUGCCGGAAGGUUAAUUGAUGGGGUUAGUUUUCGGACGAAGCUCUUGAUCGAAGCCCCGGUAAACGGCGGCCGUAACUAUAACGGUCCUAAGGUAGCGAAAUUCCUUGUCGGGUAAGUUCCGACCUGCACGAAUGGUGUAACCAUGGCCACGCUGUCUCCACCCGAGACUCAGUGAAAUUGAAAUCGCAGUGAAGAUGCUGUGUACCCGCGGCUAGACGGAAAGACCCCGUGAACCUUUACUACAGCUUGGCACUGAACAUUGAACCUACAUGUGUAGGAUAGGUGGGAGACUUUGAAGCAGCGACGCUAGUUGUUGUGGAGUCGUCCUUGAAAUACCACCCUUGUAGUUUUGAUGUUCUAACGUUGGCCCCUGAAUCGGGGUUACGGACAGUGCCUGGUGGGUAGUUUGACUGGGGCGGUCUCCUCCCAAAGAGUAACGGAGGAGCACGAAGGUUGGCUAAGUACGGUCGGACAUCGUACGGUUAGUGUAAUGGUAGAAGCCAGCUUAACUGCGAGACAGACACGUCGAGCAGGUACGAAAGUAGGUCAUAGUGAUCCGGUGGUUCUGAAUGGAAGGGCCAUCGCUCAACGGAUAAAAGGUACUCCGGGGAUAACAGGCUGAUACCGCCCAAGAGUUCAUAUCGACGGCGGUGUUUGGCACCUCGAUGUCGGCUCAUCACAUCCUGGGGCUGAAGUCGGUCCCAAGGGUAUGGCUGUUCGCCAUUUAAAGUGGUACGCGAGCUGGGUUUAGAACGUCGUGAGACAGUUCGGUCCCUAUCUGCCGUGGGCGUUUGAGAAUUGAGAGGGGUUGCUCCUAGUACGAGAGGACCGGAGUGAACGAACCGCUGGUGUUCGGGUUGUCAUGCCAAUGGCAUUGCCCGGUAGCUACGUUCGGAACUGAUAAGCGCUGAAAGCAUCUAAGCGCGAAGCAGGCCUCGAGAUGAUUUCUCACUAGACUUUUAAAGUCUCUGAAGGGCCGUUGAAGACUACAACGUUGAUAGGCAAGAUGUGGAAGUGGUGUGAGCCAUUAAGCUAACUUGUACUAAUUACCCGUGAGGCUUAACCAU